AUUGAACGCUGGCGGCAGGCUUAACACAUGCAAGUCGAGCGGGGUGAUGGUGCUUGCACUAUCACUUAGCGGCGGACGGGUGAGUAAUGCUUAGGAAUCUGCCUAUUAGUGGGGGACAACAUCUCGAAAGGGAUGCUAAUACCGCAUACGUCCUACGGGAGAAAGCAGGGGAUCACUUGUGACCUUGCGCUAAUAGAUGAGCCUAAGUCGGAUUAGCUAGUUGGUGGGGUAAAGGCCUACCAAGGCGACGAUCUGUAGCGGGUCUGAGAGGAUGAUCCGCCACACUGGGACUGAGACACGGACCAGACUCCUACGGGAGGCAGCAGAGGGGAAUAUUGGACAAUGGGGGGAACCCUGAUCCAGCCAUGCCGCGUGUGUGAAGAAGGCCUUAUGGUUGUAAAGCACUUUAAGCGAGGAGGAGGCUCUUUUGGUUAAUACCCAAGAUGAGUGGACGUUACUCGCAGAAUAAGCACCGGCUAACUCUGUGCCAGCCGCCGCAGUAA
rnacentral:rRNA from 1 species